rnacentral:ncRNA from 1 species
GCCCGUCUCAAAGGGGUGCUUGUUAGGUCAGGCUGAGAUUAUACCCAAGGAACCUGGGCAGGUAAUGCUGCCAAGGGAUGCGAAAAUCGCGUUUU